GACGAAUGCUGGCUGCGUGCUUAACACAUGCAAGUCGAACGGUGAAGGAGGGCUUGCCCUCCGGAUCAGUGGCGAACGGGUGAGUAACACGUGGGCAACCUGCCCCUCACUCUGGGAUGACGCCGGGAAACCGGCGCUAAUACCGGAUACGACCAGGCACGACAUCUCGCCUGGUGGAAAGAAUUUCGGUGAGGGAUGGGCCCGCGGCCUAUCAGCUUGUUGGUGGGGUAACGGCCCACCAAGGCGACGACGGGUAGCCGGCCUGAGAGGGCGACCGGCCACACUGGGACUGAGACACGGCCCAGACUCCUACGGGAGGCAGCAGUGGGGAAUAUUGCGCAAUGGGCGAAAGCCUGACGCAGCGACGCAGCGUGAGGGACGAAGGCCUUCGGGUUGUAAACCUCUUUCAGCGGGGACGAAGCGAAAGUGACGGUACCCGCAGAAGAAGCACCGGCUAACUACGUGCCAGCCGCCGCAGUAA
rnacentral:rRNA from 1 species